rnacentral:rRNA from 1 species
AGCAGCCGCGGUAAUUCCAGCUCCAAUAGCGUAUAUUAAAGUUGUUGCAGUUAAAAAGCUCGUAGUUGAAUUUCGGGAUCAGUACGCUGGUCGUGCCUUCGGUAUGCACUGGUUUCACUGAUUCCUCCCUUCUGAAGAACCGUAAUGCCAUUCAGUUGGUGUGGCGGGGAAUCAGGAUUGUUACUUUGAAAAAUUAGAGUGUUUAAAGCAGGCUCGCGCUUGAAUACAUUAGCAUGGAAUAAUGAAAUAGGACGUUUGAUCCUAUUUUGUUGGUUUCUAGGAUUGACGUAAUGAUUAAUAGGGAUAGUUGGGGGCAUUAGUAUUCAAUUGUCAGAGGUGAAAUUCUUGGAUUUAUUGAAGACUAACUACUGCGAAAGCAUUUGCCAAGGAUGUUUUCAUUAAUCAAGAACGAAAGUUAGGGGAUCGAAGACGAUCAGAUACCGUCGUAGU